UACGGGGGGGGCAAGCGUUGUUCGGAAUUACUGGGCGUAAAGGGCUCGUAGGCGGCCAACUAAGUCAGACGUGAAAUCCCUCGGCUUAACCGGGGAACUGCGUCUGAUACUGGAUGGCUUGAGGUUGGGAGAGGGAUGCGGAAUUCCAGGUGUAGCGGUGAAAUGCGUAGAUAUCUGGAGGAAUACCGGUGGCGAAGGCGGCAUCCUGGACCGACACUGACGCUGAGGAGCGAAAGCCAGGGGAGCAAACGGG
rnacentral:rRNA from 1 species